AAUCUUCAGGGCAGGGUGUAAAUCCCGACCGGCGGUUAAAGUCCGCGACUCUCAUUAGAGACCGAAUCGGUGUAAUUCCGGUACCGACAGUAUAGUCUGGAUGAAAGAAGAUA
rnacentral:ncRNA from 1 species